rnacentral:piRNA from 1 species
UUGCAAAGUGGCAAGGAAACCUUAUUCAGAGU